rnacentral:lncRNA from 1 species
CUCUCUUAGCAGGUUAAUCUCAAAGUAGUCAGGUUAGUUAUCUUUAUUUUUAUUCAUUGAUACAAUACUAUAUUAUUUUUAUUCAUUGAUACAAUACAAAAUAUACACAUUUGUGGUAAGUGGAGAAAGUUGGAGAAUAUUUUGUCCAACUGUACACUUCUGUUUCAAUGGUUCGGUAAUCUCUACUAUUUGACUAGAUAAAAAUUAUUCUGUGGAUGAUAAACAAGGACAUCAUAUCCCUCAAAGUGGACUUAGAUUCGGAGAAAUGAUAAUCCCGUCAAGUAAAAUAAAUUUAAUUAAAUGAAUGAUAUAAUAAUUGUGGUUAUUUUUCAAAUAUAUCUUAUGAUCAAUGUGAAUUAUUGAGCGUUAGAUUUUGGUGCCUACUAAGCAUGUUGGUUCUAACAAAGUUGAUUUUGUUUUCUAUAACCAAGCUGAAGAAGAAGAAUGAUUUUUAUAUGUUGGUAAUUCUAUAACUAUCCAAAUUCUUAGAAUGACAAGCACUAUAAAAACCGGGUAAAAUUGUGGGGUUUAUUUGUGGGGGUUAUUUUAACCUCCGUAGAAUUAUAUAAAAUGUGAGAGUUAAAAAUCUGUUACUUACGCCAUAAAAAAAAAUAUUUUCCCUCUUUUUUUUUUUAAUUGGCCAAACAUUUUCUCUUCUUUUUUUUUAAUUGGCCAAACAUUUUCCCUCUUUUUUUUAAUUGGACAAAACAUUUUUCAUCUCUAAACAGCUUUAGCACUGACCCUCUCUCUCGUUUUUUCCCCCAAAUUAACCCUCUCUUUCAUUUUUUCCCCAAAUGAGGCAUCUUCGAAGAUAGAGGCGAACUUAGGAUUUGAAGUUUGUGGUUGCACCAGUGUUGUCAAUGGCGCGCAUAAGCCUCGAAGUAAGACUCAAAAUGUGUUGAGCGCUCGCCUCACUUAAUGUCUAACUUAGGUUCUAAUUUCUAAUACAUACUUGCCCUUGUCAGUCAAUGAGGCUUUCUUAAGAGACGACUAUUUCACUUUAUCAAAAAAAAAAAAUUCAUAUAUUUGUCAUUCAUGCUUAUAUUAUUAGUCUUGUACUAGACAUAUAUUUAUAUUCUUUUCUCUUUAUGCUUUUUUUUUUGUUAAAUCUCACGUUUUAUUUGUACUUUAUGCUUAAACACAAUAGACCGUGAAACUUUUUUACGCUUGUUGCUUUUGAUAAUACUGUGGAGCACAUUAUUAUCUUAAAACAUUAGAAAAACUUUCAGUGUCGAUUAAGAAAUAUUAUCAUAUUCAAUUGGUCGUCAAAGAUAUAAACAAUAUUAAAAAAAUAAAUAUAUGGAACAAGUAUGAGUUCUAAGCUAAUAACUUUACUUUCUUAUAAUAUGAGGUUUAUUUUUAAGAUUGUUGGAUAAUUAUUUGUAGUAGCUCAAUGGUCAAAGGGGAUUCACUUCAUGGGAUGGUUGCAAGUUCGAAUCCCUAUUCCAACAUUUUAAUGUUAUAAAUUUAGUAAUGGAAAAAAUAUCGUUAUAAAUUUAGUAAUAGAAAAAAUAUUGUGCUACCAGGGUGAUACCAAAUGGUAUCUAAAAGAGCACGAAAACAGUCCACAAACACACAAACAGUACACACACACAAAACACUAAACGGAAACAACAAACUCAAACUUAAAUGAUAAAGAAGAUAUGUAACUUGACACAAUGAGAACUCAUAAUGCAGCAACUAAAGAGUUUUUUAAUACUCUAAAGCCUCCACAAAACAAGUUAACAAGCACCACGUUCUUACGGAACACAAGAGGAACUCGGUUCACUCAAGCACUCUUGUUUUUAGCCGAUACACACAACACAAGAAGGAACUAUUUCUUGUGAUGUCAAAGUGGUGGUCUACUCUCUUCUUGAGAGAAAACUAAUGUUCAAUAUUACAAGUGAUUUCAAGAAUGAGCUAACUAAGAAAAUAAGACUAAGGGGUUCCUACUUAUAGUCUAUUAUAAAAGAGAUGGGAAAUGACACAUUUACCCUUAAUGAAAGGGGUGGAUUUGGAGUGUAUAAAUGGGGCUGACUUAUAGUAUUUUUAAGACACUCAAGACAUGUCUUCAUACUUUAAUACAUACACUUCCUUGGAUGAACUUAAGACAUGCUCGACCACGUUCAUUUUCAUAAACGCGCCUUGUAGUCUUUGUAGUCCCCGAGCUUGGACAAGGCUUUGAAAAAGGCUUCAAAAGGUCUUUAAUUCCUUCACAAAUCCAAAAUGUGGACCUUCAACAAAAACUUAUAAUCUUUGUGCUCCUCAUGCUUGUAUCAUCCUCUCCACCUUGAAAGAAAUUUGUCCUCAAAUUCGCACCUUGCAAAACCAAAGAAAGGGAAAACAAGCACACAAUCCUCAUGAUAGGAGGGUUAGUAUUAGUACCACAAAUUAUAUAGACAUGCCAAGGGGGUACACUUUUGGAAUACAACCAAUAAUCCUUUGUUAUGAUCAUGAAACACGUACCACAAGCAUAUAAAAGGACAUGACGAAGAUAAACUUCAAGGAAAGAGGAUUGCAAUUCGAAACUAUCACAUAUGUCAUCAAGCCAAGGUUGUUCACAUUUUGAAUAUACCCAUGGGUCCUUUGUGUGUGACAUGAAAAGCUUAGCAUGAAUGGCACAAAGGAAGUGGUUUUGGCAAAUAUCAAGAGAUAAGAAAACUACAAUGGUCUUAUUUGCUUUACUAUACCCAAAAGGUAAUACUCUCUUCAUCUUAGGAACCAUAAGAUACAUUUGUUUCAUUACCUCUACAAAGGACCUCAUCAAAUAUAGUGCCACAAUUGAUCUUAAGAUCCAGCUCAACCAUAUAUCACCAUCAUGCAAAUAAGAAAACCAGUCACCAAACUUCCUACCACUACACAAUAAAAAUUCAAAAUUAACAUGGUUAUCAUCCAUCAUAAGUAAAGAGGUAGUAUAGAAAGGAAUCAAGUGUGAAGAUAUCUUGCCGAGGGGGUACAUGUUUAAAAUUCAACCAGUAAUCCUUUAUUUUUACCAUGAAACACGUAGUUUGAAAAUUACAAAGGAUAGGGAUAAGAUAAUCAUCAAGGAAAGAUAAUCAUAAGCCGAGGCAACCCCUUUUUCAACCCACUAGUGUUCCGGGAUCAAAGGAAUGGUGUAACCAAGGGUAAAAAGUCGAGAUUAAUCAAUCUUUUACUAGGCUAUCAUCCAAGACUAAAGAGUUGUGGCCUAUAAGUCUUCUCUUAAGAGAAAGCACACCUUUAUUCAAAAGUUUUCCAAGAAUAUGAUUACCUUAAGCAAAACUAGUAGCAUGGUUUGCAUCACACAAGCUCAAAGGAAUAUGUCCAAUAUCAUGGUCAAUAUUACAAGAACGAACACUAACUUGAGGAUUUUGAAUCACAUCACUCACAUGAUCAAGUAGUGAGCAAUCCUUAAGAGCAAAUUGACCAACAUAUGCAACAAGAGAACUACCAAAGAAAGAUUCAUUCUUUUCUACACUAUGUAAACCCGAAGCUACUUCACAUUGGAUACUAAUAUCCUUAUCACAAUAUUUCAAUCCUAAGGAAGUGUAGAGUGUAUCAAUUAUACCUCGGUGUUUGCCAUGACAGUUCACUUAUUUGGAGCUCUUGGCCAAGGGUGUCACUAGCUCAUUUCCCAUGUUAUCGUGUGGAAUUCUUUUUUGAUCCUUCUUUGAUAGUAUAUGAACUUAAACCUGUACAUAAGAAGGGUCAAUUCUAGGCAAAGCGCUAGCAUAUGGGUUAGUGAUUAUCAAAGAUCCUUUGUGGGCAAAUCCCACAAGCAUAUUUUUCUUUCCCUUUUCUACUUCACUACCCGCAGUUUCCCUUUCCCUUGCCUUCUUCUCUUCACAUUCUUCUUGUAUCUCACCACUAAGUUCCUCUCCAUCUUGAGGCUUGGCCUCAUUAUCCUUGGAUCCUAACUCUCCCCAUUUUUCUACUUGGAUGGUGUGUUUUUGGGUUAGUGUAGCUUAGGAAGGAGACAUUGGAUUUAGUGGAGUGUAGGGUCUUUGAAUUGGAGGAUUUUGGAGUGGAGGAUUUGGGUUUAGGGAUGGAAUUUGGGUUCCAAGUCCUCCUUGUGAAACUUGGUGGAGUGAGGAAUGGCUAGGUCCAUCUUGUUCUCGGGUUUGGAAGUAAAGAUUGACUUGGUUUGUAGCACUUGGUGGAUACAAUAUUUGGUGCAAGGUCUAGAGAGUAAUAGUAGGUGAGGUGUUUUGAGUGGUAUGAGGUCGAGAACUCCUUUGGCUUUCCAUCCUCUCCAAUCUUUCACUCGUUGAGGCCCAAUCCUAACCCAACUUCUCAAUAUUUGCCUUCAUCCUAGCCACGCCUCGUGAAAAAGUUUCAAGACUAGCUAAAAGGACAUUCAUAACAUUACUUUCCACGAUUGGGGAAUUAGAAUUUUUGGGUUUCAUUUGAAAUUGUAACUACAAAACAAGCAAAUGUUAGUUCAAAAUACGCUAGACAUUCUUCACACUCGGCUUCCUCACUUGGUCCUUCAAGUGUUGUAAGCCGACUAUCAAUCCUUCAGUUCUUAGGAAUGAGACUACUUUUGAGUUGGAGUGGAUUUCGGUUAGAAGACUCAAAGAAGUUUUGUACGUUCUUGAACGAAAAAUAACUACGAACUAUAAAUGAGCAAAGCACCACAAGUAACACUUACACGAAAGAAGUACUCAAAAACUAGUUCAGAACUUAGUAGGUUGUUACUAGUUGUCAACUAGUAUAGGAGUCAAUGAAAAUGAAACUAAUAGAGACAAGGAAAGAAACUAUGGAUGUCCAAGAACUUGAGGUUUUUGUUUUGUUGUUGGCAUGGCCCACGAUUUUUAUUGUUAUUUUUCUUUGGUCGUUGAUAUUGUUGUUGAUGUGGAGUAUAAUGUUAUUAAGACAUAAGUUGUUUAAUCUUGUUUGUUGGUCAUGAAUUUUCGGUUUUGGAGUAACAAGACAAGGCUUUGGAUUCUCUUUCCAAAGUUCAAAAAGGUGUACAUCAUCUUUCACCAACUUGCACUAAAAUGGAAAAACACCUUCUUGCCUUGUCUUUUCCCUUUCCUCUUUUGGCCUUUCUUGAAAGAUGUUUUGACACUCUUUUGCUAGGCAAGCUUUUGGUAGGUCUUUGUUUUUUUGCCACUUUAGUGUUGUCUUGAAAGUAGUCCCAAGACAACACAAUACCUUACCUCUCUCUUCCCUUUUUUCAAAUCAAACAGGGCAUUUUGUUGAAUAUUACUCAAGAACAACAUGAACAACAACAAGAACACUUUGAACAAUAACAAUAUCUAAACUAUCCAACCUUUCACCAACAACUUACCAAAGCUCAAAUCUUGGACUUUAGACUCAAGUGUGCUAGGAAAACAACAAGAUAACACAUGAAACUACUAAGACAAGCAAAAUAACACCUAAUCUAGACACAAAUUCGGCCAAACAACAACAACACUUUGGCCAAGACACCCAACCCGUAGAAUAACUUUUUUUUGUAAGAUUUUCGACCUUGGACACCUCUUCUAAUGUUAGGAAACAAAGAUCUAACACUAUAACACAUAAAAUUUACAAGAAAAUUAGGCACAGAUCUCGGCCAAAACAACAAGAAGACAUAAUUUCGGCAAAGACAACAAGAAUGGACAGAUUUGCUUCUUUUUGGAAUUUUCAGUUUUUCAACACCUUUUUUUUUAUUAUUAUUUUUUGAAUUAGAGAGCCCAAGAUUGGUAGUGUAGGAACACACCCAGCCUUAGCUCUGAUACCAAAUGAUACCAAACGGUAUCUAAAAGAGCACGAAAACGGUCCGCAAACACACAAACAAUUCACACACACAAGACACUAAACAAAAACAACAAACUCAAACUUAAAUGAUAAAGAAUAUAUGUAACUUGACACAAUAAGAACUCAUAAUGCAACAACUAAAGAGUGUAUUAAUACUCUAAAACCUCCACAAAAUAAGUUAACGAGCAUCAUGUUCUUACGGAACACAAGAGGAACUCGGUUCACUCAAGCACUCUCGUUUCUAGCCGAUACACACAACACAAGAAGAAAUCAUUUCUUGUGAUGUCAAAGUGGUGGUCUACUCUCUUCUUGAGAGGAAAGUGAUGUUCAAUAUUACAAGUGAUUUCAUGAAUGAGCUAACUAAGAAAAUAAGACUAAGGGAUUCCUACUUAUAGUCUAUUACAAAAAAGAUGGGAAAUGACACGUUUACCCUUAAUGAAGGGGGUGGGUUUGGAGUGUAUAAAUGGUGCUGACUUAUAGUGUUUUUAAGACACUCAAGGUAUGUCUUCACACUUUAAUACGUACACUUCCUUGGAUGAACUUAAGACAUGCUCAACUGAGUCCAUUUUCAAUAACGCGCCCUGUAGUCUUUGUAGUUCUCAAGCUUGGACAAGGCUUUGAAAAAGGCUUCAAAAGGUCUUCAAUUCCUUUGCAAAUCUAAAACAUGGACCUUCAACAAAAACUUGUAAUCCUUGUGCUCCUCAUGCUUGUAUCACAGGGAUUGGUCGCAUGGACGGAAGCAUUGACUUCAACCAGCGCAUCAAGGUGCACUAACAUUCAACUUAAUGUAGUAGUAAGCCUUUAAUCUGAAGAUUAAAAAUAAAAGAUAAAAUAUUAUGCGACCCAAGGAUCGAUCCUUGGUCGCGUGGACGGAUGUGAUGUCUUCAUCCAGCGUGGCAAGGUGCACUAGCAUUCAUUUGGGGGUGCACUAUUAACUAUAUCUCAAUUUUUGAAGGUAUAUACAUAUGUAUACGUAUAAUUUUUUUGACGUUAACGGGUGCACAUGCACCUCCUCUAAUAGUUGUGGGUCCGCCUCUAUUCGAAGAGCCUAGCGGUCAUUAAGAAGCCUCCUACUGAUGAUAUUUGUCCUAUUUUCUUUGAAAAUUUUAUUGUUCCUUGUCGAGGUCUCUGCAGUUUCCAGAUUUCCUGUGUUAAGUUUGUUAUUAUAGCUUUGUUUACCAAGAAAUUAAUUAUGUGCAGUUAUUUUGGGAAUGAUAUUGGGUAUGCUGACACCUAAUUUUUGCUCUCCACAUUUCAAAUUAGUUUUUGAGUUUCUCAAUUUUAAAUAGUUUUAAAAUAUUUAUUUUAAGUUUUUUUGAAAUAAAUUUCAACCCUACCUUUUAAAUUUAGAUGAAAUUAAUAUAUUUAGUGUUUAAUUAUACAUGAUUAUAUAUUUAUCAGUUAAAGAAAGUGCUUUAGAAUUUAUUCAGAAUGAAAAGUUUGAUUAAAGUGCAAAUAUUUUACUUUUUUCAAGAUUGAUUGAAAAUAAGAAAUUAGCGACAUAAUUAGUUUCUUAAUUUUUUAAACAAAAAUAAUUGUGCUUGCAUUAAAUAUUUAUUUUAAAAUUAUUAAAUUUAAGAAAAUUGUUAAAUUAAUCAAAAGAUAAUUUCGUCUCAACUUUAUCCCAAUUUAUUCAACUAUCACUAUUUCAUUAAUGCAAAAUAACCUUUCUUAUUUUGUUUUUGGACCAACCAUUCAGCCAGCCCAAUAUCCAACCAACCCAAAUUCCCUCUGCCCCAACCCAACAACCAAUAAAAAUAGUAUAAAUAACAUAAAUACCAAUUCUUUUGGAAGUAAUUACACUCUCUCCCACCUUUUUAAUUACUUACUCUCUCUCCCUAUUAAUAUACAUAACAUAACCGACAUAUACAUAGCAUUCUGUGUAUAUGUUGGGAUUUUGUAAUAUGUUUAGGGAGUUGGAAUUUUUUGUAAUAUUGAAAACAAAAGUUGUGUAUUUGUGUAAUUUUUAGAUAACAAUAAUCAACAACCCCAAAAUUCCAUUCAGCUGCCAGCCCAAUCAAAUGACUGCCCUAUCACCAGCCCACUAUGGUAACCCGGACAAUACACCUUAUACACCUAGUCCGUCCUCUUUUUCAGUAAACAACGAUAACCCACCACUGUACAAACCUCAGCAAACCAACUCCAACGUUAACAAAUGACAAUAACAACGAGCAACAACAAUAAAAAUCUAACCCAGCCCGUUUCCUUUUCUUCUUUUCCUUAACAUCAUUCAACAGCAAAAUAACAACAUUAUCAAUGACAAGUCAACAAUGACUGCAAUAGCAAUUGCGCACAACAGCUGUAUCAACAGUCAAAUGAUGCGACAACAACAGCAAAAACCGACAACACGUAAAAAUGUUCAGAUUCUGUACCAAUUUCAGCUUAUCUUAUCUCAAUUUUGAAAUUCAAAUUUCUACUUCUUUUUCCCCUUUAAUCCCUUCGUUUUCCCUCCAGAUCAGUCUUAAAUCUUCUAUAAAUAUCUGUUAAUAACAAGAGGAAAAAAGAGAGAAUUUUUGGGGAAAAGUUGAGCGUUUUGGAGGCGCAUGCUUCUAACCUCACGGAUUCAAAAUUCUCGAAGAACAUAAUUCGAAAAAAUCAACUUCCAAUAAAAUUAUUUUGAGUUCCUGCGGAUUGAAAUUAAAUUUAGCAUUGAAAGUCGUCGUCAACUCAUUGUUUCAGUUCACUGCCUGGAAAAAGGAAAAUAAAUUUUUCACUUUAAAAUUUUCUCGUUGUUUCUUUUUCGUCUUCGCGCAAGCAGCGUAAUUAUGGGAUUACGUAUUGUAGAGGUUUCGAAGGCAUAGGGUCUUUGUGAUUCUGUUUGAGCUUUUGUUUGAUACAAUUUGUUUGUGAUUCUUUCGAGCCAAUUCUGUCCUGUUCUUGGUGUAUUUGAUACAACUGAUAUGUUCUUAAAUUAAUUUGAUGCUCAUUAAAUUGGCCUAGUUAGUGUUUGAAAAAAUUGACAUUUUAUUCGACAAUUAUUACAUCGGUGAUUUAAUCAUAAAUUCUAACUUGUUUGCUUGUCCAGUAACUUUUCUUCUCGGUUUGGUGUCCAAGUUUUAGUUGUGCCCUCUUUUCGACAUGGUUAAAUCUGCACCUUUUCAUAUGACUAUUUUAGUGGUUUGUUUAGCUGUCAAGGGACCUGCUUAAGAAAAUUUUGAAAAGAAUAAGUUAGAAAAAAAAAAAGAAAAAUAAAUUAUGUUCUCUUCUUGAGCAUCAUAAGUGGAUAUUUGGGUUAUUUGAAAAGGUUAUUUAUUUGUCCUUCUCUCUCACCAUACCUUAAGAUGUCCCUUUGGAUUUUAAAUUAGUCACUUCUCUUGUAAUUUUGACAUUAAGGCUCUUUUGGCAUUACGAUUAUAAAGAUGAGUGAACUUUUGAUAGAUUGAAAUAAAUAUGUUUUAUCUGGACCUUUGUUUGCAUGCCACUUUGUUUGGUCAAAAGCAGUGAGACCAAUUCUCUGUUUUUCCUCCUUGCAUAUUCAUUCAAUAUUUGUUGAUCGGGACGUCCUAGUGGUCUUCUUUUCGUUUAUAGUACAAAAUGCAUCGAGCUUAACUAGUUGGUGAUUUCUAUCAAGAUAUGAGAUAAAAAGGUUUCCAUUACAACUCUUUGCUUUGUUUUGUGUAAAGUUGGCAAAUUUCACUGGUUAUCUAAGAUGACAUAAUACAGUAAAGUUGUUAAAUAGAAGAUUUUGAACUCUUUUGUGUCACCUGCAUAAAACAUCAAUAUUAUUUUCCCUCUAUUUCUUUUGUAAUCCUUUUCUUUUAUUCUUUGAUGCAUGUAAUGCUCAUCCAUGAGUCCAUUGGACUCUUUUCCCUAGCAUCUCCGCAGGCCAAAGAGGACCGCAUUGUCUCUAGUCAAAACUCCAUGCAGAAGUCUCAAAACAGGAUUGAUCUAUGGCGAUAUAUGGAAGAUAUACUGGAGAAACACUGAUAUACAGGUUGCAGGGAUAGGAAUAUGGGUCAGGAAAUCUGAAUACGCUGAGAUCAAGGUCCACGUGGGACUAAUAUACAGUCAUAUAUACAUCAGAUAUAUAAUAAAAUGCAGGAGAAAUAGCUGAAGUAUACAACUGAUAUACAUG